UAGGGAAUAUUGGACAAUGGGUGAGAGCCUGAUCCAGCCAUGCCGCGUGCAGGAAGAAGGCGUUAUGCGUUGUAAACUGCUUUUGCCAGGGGAUAAAAAGACCGUGCGCGGUUAAUUGAAGGUACCUGGUGAAUAAGCCACGGCUAACUACGUGCCAGCAGCCGCGGUAAUACGUAGGUGGCAAGCGUUGUCCGGAUUUAUUGGGUUUAAAGGGUGCGUAGGUGGCCCUGUAAGUCAGUGGUGAAAUAUCUCAGCUUAACUGAGAGGGUGCCAUUGAUACUGCAGGGUCUUGAGUACAGAUGAGGUAGGCGGAAUUGACGGUGUAGCGGUGAAAUGCAUAGAUAUCGUCAAGAACACCGAUAGCGAAGGCAGCUUACCAAGCUGUAACUGACACUGAGGCACGAAAGUGUGGGGAUCGAAACAGGAUUAGAUACCCCCGUAGUCCCUGAGCGGGCUGGCAAGGCGCAU
rnacentral:rRNA from 1 species